CAUAUGGAUUUCCGUGUCCAACUUUUGACCGUUUGUCUUAUUUGAAAAAAUAAAAAAAAAUUAAAAAGACAAGUCAUGCAUAAAGUAUUAAUCAUGUUUUAUCAUCUAACAAUAAUAAAAAUACUAAUUAUAAAAAAAAUUUCAUAUAAGACGGACAGUCAAACAUUGGACACGGAAACCUAGUGUUUGUCUUUUU
rfam:Oryza glaberrima chromosome 1 Oglab01_0018_22, whole genome shotgun sequence.